rnacentral:ncRNA from 4 species
UUCUUAUCUAGAGAGGUAGAGGGACUGGCCCUUUGACGCCUCAGCAACCAUUAACAUUCAUUCGUUAAUAAGGUGCUAAUUCCAGCAAAUUGUGAAAGAUUUGACAGAUGAGAA